rnacentral:rRNA from 1 species
AUUGAACGCUGGCGGAAUGCUUUACACAUGCAAGUCGAACGGUAGAGGGGGCAACCCCUUGAGAGUGGCGAACGGGUGAGUAAUAUAUCGGAACGUGCCCAGUCGUGGGGAUAACGUAGCGAAAGUUACGCUAAUACCGCAUACGAUCUAAGGAUGAAAGCGGGGGAUCGCAAGACCUCGCGCGAUUGGAGCGGCCGAUAUCAGAUUAGGUAGUUGGUGAGGUAAAGGCUCACCAAGCCAACGAUCUGUAGCUGGUCUGAGAGGACGACCAGCCACACUGGAACUGAGACACGGUCCAGACUCCUACGGGAGGCAGCAGUGGGGAAUUUUGGACAAUGGACGCAAGUCUGAUCCAGCAAUGCCGCGUGAGUGAAGAAGGCCUU